CUCCCUGACUCCUCCUGCUCACAGUUGAAGACACCAGCAGGCUCCUUCCUGCACAUCUGCUUCAUCUCCCAGGCUGGACAUUGCUGCCCGCAUCCUGGCACCUUUGGGCCAGUGCUUGGGGUCUCUGGUGCUGACAGCUGCAGGGAACCUGCCCUCCUGAGCAGACCCACGGGGUUCUUGGGCAGGGGCUUGCUCCUAGGCCCCAGGUACUCUGGGUUGCAGGAAGCAGGGUCUGCUUUGGGCAUAGAUGGGGUCAACAAGGGCACCCAGGGCAGCCCCCCAGCCACUCUGGGGAAACUGAGAGCAUCUGCCCACUGCAUGGCAGAGGGAAGCCACCACCUCUGGGCUCCUGGGGUUCCUUUCCUUCAUUUGCUUAUGAGGCUCCUGGGGCUACAACUGACUGGCCCCAGUCCUGCAGCUGGUCAGGGAUAGAGCUGGGAACAGAAGCUCUCCCAGAAGGCUCUUUAGACUUCCUUCCUCCUGGUUUGUUGGUGGGAUUCCGUAAGAGAAUAUAUGGAGAGCUCUGGGCUCAGCACGUGGCCCUCCUGUCCAGGGACAUCCCUUGGCCCUAAAGAGGAAGACUCCAGUCUCCAGUUCACACGUCCAGGACUGAUCUUACAUCUCUCUCUAGCUGCCUACAGGACAUUUCUGGAACACACACGUGCGGUUCCCCAAAUCCAAUACCAGCAGCGCACAGUUGCUUGCCUCGUGGACACGCACAUCCUUUGGUUCCUGCAAUUGAGAUGGCCGACUCUACUGCUCUGGACCCAAGGGGAGGCAGAACAUCAUGGUGAAAAGGUGUGGAGGAGGAAAGCAGCUCUGGACAUGGCAGAAUCACCUUUACAGUCCCCAAAAGGUCGGUUCCUGUCCUGGGGUCACCACGUGUCUCAGAAGCUUCUUUUUCUUCUUUUUUAACUGAAGAUUGGUGUUCAUAAACCAAGACCAGGCAGGGGGUGUGCCCACUGACCUCUGGGUGCCGUUACUUUUAUGUCCUCUUGGGGACACAGGUCUUGGCGAUGGAGGUGUGGGUGCUCACCCUGCAAACACACACGUUUACACUGACUUCAGUGUUCUCAGUUUGUUCUGGUACCUCUGACUUCAGUUCACCCCCCAGGAUUCAUUCUCAUUUCCCUUUUCUUAUGUGUAGCAUCUUUAUCCAACAGUGUCAAUCCUGGGUGUCCUUGAUUAAAAGACAUUUACUUAUUUGUUCAACCUGGGUAUUUAUGUAAAGCAGAGCCAGAAUUGCUGACCCAUGCUCUUUUUAAAACAGAAAUUUGGGGGGUUUUUCUUUGUUAUAUAUGACAGUGGAAUCCACUUUGAUAAAAUUAUACAAGCAUGGAAUAUAGCUAAAUACUUAGGAAAAUUAUGUGAGAUUUAUUCUACUGUCUUUCCUAUUUCUAGCCUUCCUCCAUUCCCUUUGUCUCCCCCUUUUAUUGUGGGUCAGCUUCCACAUAUCAGGGAAAACAUUUGACCUUUGGUUUUGGGGGGUUGGCUUAUUUCGCUUAGCACGAAAGUCUCCAGAUACACCCAUUUACUGGCAAAUGUCAUAAAAUCAUUCUUCUUUAUGGCUGGGUAAUAUUCCAUUGUGCUCUUGUGAGAAACUAAAUUAUUAGUUAAAAUGUAGCAUUUGUACAUUGUUUUGUCUUUAGUCUUACAACAUUCACUUAAAAUGCCAUUUCCCCAAAGUAACUCAGUUUGGUUCUUUUCCUCCCCACUCCCUUUAGUGUGAUUAUUUUAUCCAUUUGUAAACUAAGUAAGUUCAUUUAUUACAAUUUGUAUUCUAUUUUAGGUUUUUCACGUAUUAUGAUUGACGUCUUUAAAAUUUACACACAAUAAGAUUCACCAUGGCAUAGUUUCAUGGUUUGGUUAGCAGACUUAUGUAUUAUGAGUCAUCAUGACUUAGAAUGGUUCUGCCACUCACAGAUUCCCUUCUGUUAGCCCUUCUUUAGUUCACCUGCCCCAUCUCCAUGCCCAGCCUAUGAAACCCUGGAUGUGUUUUCUAUCCAUAUAGUUUAGUCUUUUCUGGAUGGUCACAUUAAUGGAGUGCAUGUGUCAGUUUUGUGUUACUACAAUGAAAUACCUGACACAAGCUACCUAUGAAGUAAAGAAAGGUUUAUUUUGGCUUAUAGUUCUGGGGAUUCAAGUUCAAGAUCAGGUUGCCCCCUUGGCUUGGGUCCCUGGUGAGGGCAGCCCAUCACUGUGGAUGGCAUGUAGAAGUGAAUGCUAUCAGGAGUCAGGAAGCAGAGAGAGGCCAGUGACCAAGACCUCCCACCAGGCCCCGCCUUUUAAAGGUUCCAUCACCUCCCAAUAGCACUACCUUGGGGACCAAGCUUCUGACCAUGGAUCUUAGGGGAACACUAUCCACAUGGAAACCACAUCAUGGGAUAACAUAACACAUUACCUCUUCUCUUGGCAAAAUGAAUUCACUAUUUAUCCAUCAUUUUGUGGGUAUCAGUGUUUUCUUCCUCUUUAAUUUUGGGUAAUGUUCCAUUCAAUGGAUUUAUUACAGCUUUUAAAUCCAUUCUUUGGUGCCAAGACAUGUGAAUUGUUUCCAGUUAAAAAUAA